rnacentral:misc_RNA from 1 species
UUUNUUUUUUUUUUUUUUUUCCGCGCCCGGUUCACUCGACGAUCUCACUUGGCGCUUGAGGCGCGCCGGAAAUCGCCUCAAACGCCUUCGGCAUUUGCCCGCGGUGUCGGGCUCGGAACGAGCUUUCCGAAACGUGCUCACGGGCCCCGUGAGUCCAUCGGGAUCGAAAGUUAGGCACGUGAACGGGGAGACGCGCGGAUUGCGUUUACCGAGACAUUCUUCAUUUCGUAUUUUCGUCGCAAGUAAGUAGCGUUGCGUUAACCGCGCGAUGGGNCCUUGAGAGCGGGAAGUUGAACACUCCNGACGUUAUNGAGAGGNGAUAACCUUUCNUUUNNANGUGGCCNAGNAGACAAA